AGAGUUUGAUCCUUGCUCAGGAUGAACGCUAGCGGCAGGCUUAACACAUGCAAGUCGAGGGGCAGUGGGGUGUAGCAAUACACUGCCGGCGACCGGCGCACGGGUGCGUAACGCGUAUGCAACCUACCCAUAACAGGGGCAUAACACUGAGAAAUUGGUACUAAUUCCCCAUAACAUUCGAAGAGGCAUCUCUUUGGGUUGAAAACUCCGGUGGUUAUGGAUGGGCAUGCGUUGUAUUAGCUAGUUGGG
rnacentral:rRNA from 1 species